GAGUUUAGAAAAAUCCUGAUUUUCUAAAGUUACUCUGAAAAAAUGUUUUAGCCCCCUACACCUCACAGGCUUUGUUUUGAGCCCCCGAGGCGAAUCGCAUUUUGUCGGUUA
ensembl:ncRNA F26A3.11 ncRNA